AGCAGCCGCGGUAAUUCCAGCUCCAAUAGCGUAUAUUAAAGUUGUUGCAGUUAAAAAGCUCGUAGUUGAAUUUCGGAGUUUGUCGGUUGGUCGGGCUUCACUGUCCGCACUGGCCUGAUGGAUUCCUACCUUCUGAAUAACCAGCAUGCUAUUAAUUUAGUGCGUUGGGGAAGCAGAGCUAUUACCUUGAAAAAUUAGAGUGCUUAAAGCAGGCUUACGCUUGAAUAGAUUAGCAUGGAAUAAUAAAAUAGGACGGCUUGGUUCUAUUUUGUUGGUUUCUAGGAUCACCGUAAUGAUUAAUAGGGAUAGUUGGGGGCAUUAGUAUUCAAUUGUCAGAGGUGAAAUUCUUGGAUUUAUUGAAGACUAACUUCUGCGAAAGCAUUUGCCAAGGAUGUUUUCAUUAAUCAAGAACGAAAGUUAGGGGAUCGAAGACGAUCAGAUACCGUCGUAGUCUUACCAUAAACUAUGCCGACUAGGGAUCGGACGAUGUUAAUUUUUUAAUGACUCGUUCGGCGCCUUA
rnacentral:rRNA from 1 species